rnacentral:rRNA from 1 species
AGUGAACGCUGGCGGUAGGUCUAACACAUGCAAGUCGAACGGCAGCACAGUAAGAGCUUGCUCUUACGGGUGGCGAGUGGCGGACGGGUGAGGAAUACAUCGGAAUCUACUUUUUCGUGGGGGAUAACGUAGGGAAACUUACGCUAAUACCGCAUACGACCUACGGGUGAAAGCAGGGGAUCUUCGGACCUUGCGCGAUUGAAUGAGCCGAUGUCGGAUUAGCUAGUUGGCGGGGCAAAGGCCCACCAAGGCGACGAUCCGUAGCUGGUCUGAGAGGAUGAUCAGCCACACUGGAACUGAGACACGGUCCAGACUCCUACGGGAGGCAGCAGUGGGGAAUAUUGGACAAUGGGCGCAAGCCUGAUCCAGCCAUACCGCGUGGGUGAAGAAGGCCUUCGGGUUGUAAAGCCCUUUUGUUGGGAAAGAAAAGCAGCAGGUUAAUACCCCGCUGUUCUGACGGUACCCAAAGAAUAAGCACCGGCUAACUUCGUG